GCUGGCAUGCGUGAUGACUGAACUUUUUUCCCCGACUGAUCGACCAUGUUGAUCUAAGCUCUCUUAAGCCAGUUUCUGUCUGAUAUGCCAGC
ensembl:snoRNA predicted gene, 23201